rnacentral:rRNA from 1 species
GGGUUGUGAGGUUAAGCGACUAAGCGUACACGGUGGAUGCCCUGGCAGUCAGAGGCGAUGAAGGACGUGCUAAUCUGCGAUAAGCGUCGGUAAGGUGAUAUGAACCGUUAUAACCGGCGAUUUCCGAAUGGGGAAACCCAGUGUGAUUCGUCACACUAUCGUUAACUGAAUACAUAGGUUAACGAAGCGAACCGGGGGAACUGAAACAUCUAAGUACCCCGAGGAAAAGAAAUCAACCGAGAUUCCCCCAGUAGCGGCGAGCGAACGGGGAGGAGCCCAGAGCCUGAAUCAGCAUGUGUGUUAGUGGAAGCGUCUGGAAAGGCGCGCGAUACAGGGUGACAGCCCCGUACACAAAAGCGCAUGUGCUGUGAGCUCGAUGAGUAGGGCGGGACACGUGGUAUCCUGUCUGAAUAUGGGGGGACCAUCCUCCAAGGCUAAAUACUCCUGACUGACCGAUAGUGAACCAGUACCGUGAGGGAAAGGCGAAAAGAACCCCGGCGAGGGGAGUGAAAAAGAACCUGAAACCGUGUACGUACAAGCAGUGGGAGCCCCACCACCAAAGCAUUCUCUGGUGUUGAAGGCCCUGCAAAGCAGCAUCGCGGUGGCGGAGCGUCGUUUGCGACGCCCAACACACAAAACAAGCGGUGAGUGCUUUGGGGUGGGGUGACUGCGUACCUUUUGUAUAAUGGGUCAGCGACUUAUAUUCUGUAGCAAGGUUAACCGUAUAGGGGAGCCGAAGGGAAACCGAGUCUUAACUGGGCGUUAAGUUGCAGGGUAUAGACCCGAAACCCGGUGAUCUAGCCAUGGGCAGGUUGAAGGUUGGGUAACACUAACUGGAGGACCGAACCGACUAAUGUUGAAAAAUUAGCGGAUGACUUGUGGCUGGGGGUGAAAGGCCAAUCAAACCGGGAGAUAGCUGGUUCUCCCCGAAAGCUAUUUAGGUAGCGCCUCGUGAACUCAUCUUCGGGGGUAGAGCACUGUUUCGGCUAGGGGGUCAUCCCGACUUACCAACCCGAUGCAAACUGCGAAUACCGAAGAAUGUUAUCACGGGAGACACACGGCGGGUGCUAACGUCCGUCGUGAAGAGGGAAACAACCCAGACCGCCAGCUAAGGUCCCAAAGUCACAGUUAAGUGGGAAACGAUGUGGGAAGGCUCAGACAGCCAGGAUGUUGGCUUAGAAGCAGCCAUCAUUUAAAGAAAGCGUAAUAGCUCACUGGUCGAGUCGGCCUGCGCGGAAGAUGUAACGGGGCUAAACUGUGCACCGAAGCUGCGGCAGCGACGCUUAUGCGUUGUUGGGUAGGGGAGCGUUCUGUAAGCCUGCGAAGGUGUCCUGUGAGGGAUGCUGGAGGUAUCAGAAGUGCGAAUGCUGACAUAAGUAACGAUAAUGCGGGUGAAAAGCCCGCUCGCCGGAAGACCAAGGGUUCCUGUCCAACGUUAAUCGGGGCAGGGUGAGUCGACCCCUAAGGCGAGGCCGAAAGGCGUAGUCGAUGGGAAACGGGUUAAUAUUCCCGUACUUGGUGUUACUGCGAAGGGGGGACGGAGAAGGCUAUGUUGGCCGGGCGACGGUUGUCCCGGUUUAAGCGUGUAGGCUGGUUUUCCAGGCAAAUCCGGAAAAUCAAGGCUGAGGCGUGAUGACGAGGCACUACGGUGCUGAAGCAACAAAUGCCCUGCUUCCAGGAAAAGCCUCUAAGCAUCAGGUAACAUCAAAUCGUACCCCAAACCGACACAGGUGGUCAGGUAGAGAAUACCAAGGCGCUUGAGAGAACUCGGGUGAAGGAACUAGGCAAAAUGGUGCCGUAACUUCGGGAGAAGGCACGCUGACACGUAGGUGAAGUGAUUUACUCA